AACGCACCUUGCGCCCCUUGGUAUUCCGAGGGGCACACCCGUUUGAGUGUCGUGAACACCAUCAACCUUCUUGGUUUUCUUAACCAGAAAGGCUUGGACUUUGGAGGUUUUCUUUUGCUGGCCUCCCUUAAAGCCAGCUCCUCCUAAAUGAAUUAGUAGGGUCUACUGUGUCGAUCCUAGACGUGAUAAAUAUAUAUUUCUACGUCUUGGUUUUUCACACUGUUAUUAUGGAACCUGCUUCCAACGGUCUUCUCGUGAAGACAAUUUAUGAACCUUGACCUCAAAUCGGGUGAGACUACCCGCUGAACUUAA
rnacentral:misc_RNA from 1 species